AGGCACAGGGGUCCAGGGCUCAGGAAGCACCAAACAUGUCCAAGUUCCUCACAGUGCUGGCAGUAGUCUGCAGGAGCUUGGACAUGUUAGGUGCAUUCUCAGCCCACCCAGCCUCCUGACCU
rnacentral:precursor_RNA from 12 species